rnacentral:rRNA from 1 species
GACGAACGCUGGCGGCGUGCUUAACACAUGCAAGUCGAACGGAAAGGCCCUGCUUUUGUGGGGUGCUCGAGUGGCGAACGGGUGAGUAACACGUGAGUAACCUGCCCUUGACUUUGGGAUAACUUCAGGAAACUGGGGCUAAUACCGGAUAGGAGCUCCUGCUGCAUGGUGGGGGUUGGAAAGUUUCGGCGGUUGGGGAUGGACUCGCGGCUUAUCAGCUUGUUGGUGGGGUAGUGGCUUACCAAGGCUUUGACGGGUAGCCGGCCUGAGAGGGUGACCGGCCACAUUGGGACUGAGAUACGGCCCAGACUCCUACGGGAGGUAGCAGUGGGGAAUAUUGCACAAUGGGCGGAAGCCUGAUGCAGCAACGCCGCGUGCGGGAUGACGGCCUUCGGGUUGUAAACCGCUUUCGCCUGUGACGAAGCGUGAGUGACGGUAAUGGGUAAAGAAGAACCGGCUAACUACGUG